UACAGAGGGGGCAAGCGUUGUUCGGAAUUACUGGGCGUAAAGGGCUUGUAGGCGGCCAACUAAGUCCGACGUGAAAUCCCCAGGCUUAACCUGGGAACUGCGUCGGAUACUGGAUGGCUUGAAUUCGGGAGAGGGAUGCAGAAUUCCAGGUGUAGCGGUGAAAUGCGUAGAUAUCUGGAGGAAUACCGGUGGCGAAGGCGGCAUCCUGGACCGACAUUGACGCUGAGGAGCGAAAGCGUGGGGAGCGAACAGG
rnacentral:rRNA from 1 species